CUACGGGGGGCUCCAGUGGGGAAUAUUGGACAAUGGGGGAAACCCUGAUCCAGCAAUGCCGCGUGUGUGAAGAAGGCCUGCGGGUUGUAAAGCACUUUCGGUUGGGAGGACUGCUUCUAGCACUAAUAUUGUUGGAAGUUGACGUUACCUUCAGAAGAAGCACCGGCUAACUCCGUGCCAGCAGCCGCGGUAAUACGGAGGGUGCAAGCGUUAAUCGGAAUUACUGGGCGUAAAGCGCGCGUAGGCGGCUAGAUCAGUCGGGUGUGAAGGCCCCGGGCUUAACCUGGGAACUGCAUCCGAUACUGUCUAGCUUGAGUACAGGAGAGGAGAGUGGAAUUCCACAUGUAGCGGUGAAAUGCGUGGAUAUGUGGAGGAACACCAAUGGCGAAGGCAGCUCUCUGGCCUGAUACUGACGCUGAGGUGCGAAAGCGAGGGGAGCAAAUGGGAUUAGAUACCCGUGUAGUC
rnacentral:rRNA from 1 species